GCCGGCUACGGCGGCUGAGGAGGCUCAGGCGGCGCAGAGCUCGCGAACGCGGCGGCUCCGGGGCCUCCGGCGGGGCCCUGCUGAGGAGUCUGAGCAGGGUCUGGCAAUCGGAGCAUGGCAACAGUGUCAAGAGAUUUACACCCAACUUCAAGGUCACGCUCAUCUCAAGUAACUGAAGGGGUGACUCCAUCACGCUGUUCCUCGCUUUUCUCCUUGACUGAAUGUGGCAAAUAGAUGGUCCAUGCACCACGCUCUCAAGACCAGCACAUUUGGACUCCUCAUCAAGAGAAAUAACGAGCUCCAGAGCCAAGGGACCUCUGCUGUGAACGCCCUACCCACAGAUGUUUAGCAAUCAUAAAUAAGGGCUAAUCUCAGCUCUGGUGACAGCACAUGUGGAGAUAGAGUUCUCUGCUAUUUUAUUGAAAAUGUAUCCGUCCAAAGUCCUACAGGCAUGCUGAAAAUGCUAAUUAAAAUUUGUACGCACACUCCUUGGAACAAUGUCUAGGACUAAAACCCCUCCCAAAAUCUUUCUCUACCCAGAAAUCAGAGAUCACCCAAGCAGGCUUUUCUCUCCUGGUAGCCUUGAGGUUGGGUUAGCCAGGCUACCCUCAUAGCAUACCCCACAGAGAGGGAGCCUGGAGGUCAAAAAUCUCUUUCUGUGGGGGAGGUUGUUCCCAUUGUGCUGCAAUAUGAGGCACGUUCCCCCAGAACAGCUCUCCCAACUGCCACCAAACCAUUUUCCUGUGUUUCAGUCUCAGUAGCUGCAGCUGCCACUAUUUACCUCAUUUCUUGCCCUGUUCAGAAGAGCACCAACCAUACGCAUUCUGUUUCCACUGGCUAUGGAUUUGUGCUUACCUGGCAAAGUUAUCCCCCUUGAAAGCAAGAGGAAUCAGUUGGAAAUUAAAAAACAACAACAAACCCAAAACAAGCAACAACAACAAAGUCAAGACCAAUGUAGAUACCUGCAGCUAUUUAGCAUAAAAAGCUUGAGUUUGCCAAGAAUUUUUAGAGUCCAUCCUUAGUAUCUCUUUUUUGUAAAAUGGGAUUUCAACCUAGAGAACUAUUUGCUGUAUUUGAAAAUUUCACCUCCAUAAUAGUGUCCUAAUGCAAAUUUCUUAAAAAACAUUACAUUGCUUCUUCAGAAAGCUUUGCUAUAACCAUUUCAAAGUCUCCCAAGUCAUACAAAGCCUGUGAGUUUCUCCUGGGAGACACUUGCUCAGAGGAACAGUGUUAAGAAAAACACUGAAUUCACCACGUGCCUUCUGCUCUUUGAAACACCCAAAUAGCUUGGAUGUGCACAUGUAAGCUUCUGUGGAAAGCAUUGAGUAAAUAUAUCUACUUGAUUUCUAUAGUUUUAAUAUGCUUUAGAUCAUUAGUCAAGCUUACAGGAGACCAGCAGUAGUUUUUGAGCCUUUUCUAGCAGCCUCUGCCACAUUGAAAUGAAGAUGUUUAAUAUCUGUAAUGACAUUACUCCAUCUUCUUAUACUGUAUAAGUCUUACUUAUAUUUAUCCCAUGGUAGUUACUAAAAAGUAGGCAUUUCUUUCAGCAGCAGCUUAAGCAGCUCCCUUUUGGCCUGUCUAUGCCCCAUCCUCUUCCACUUACUGGCUGUGCUGGUGCAACUUGUGGGAUAGCAGCAGCAAACUCAACUACAUUAAAGUUUUCCAAGUGUGGGGGGAAUUAGUUAUGAUCCACUCAGCCUUAAGCCACUUACUUAUUUUGGCCAGGAUGCAUCUGUAGUUGAUCACCCAAUUCUAUCCAUAGCCCACUCUCCAUUCUGCAGCUAAAUAAAUGUCUCAUUUAAAGUGCUGCCUCCCUGGUAGAGAGAAAAACAAAAAAAACUUGUAAAAAAGUGAUGUGUACCUAUUUUAAGUGAACAGUAAGCAUAUUAUCAACUUCUGUAACAAGAGACAACUACCAUUUUGCAUACACUCUUCCACUGGAUAGCUUCUUAUGGCUCUGCUUUCUCCUGGGCUUAAGUUUAUAUGCUACUUUAUACUGUAAGAUUAAAUUGAGCUCCUUAAAUAGUUUUUGCAUGAAGUUAUACAUACUUAUUUUAUUUUUUAAAAUUUUUGGGGGGAAGUGGAACCCAUUGCACAAACUUGGCUACGUGAAAGCAACUCAUGGGGAACGACAAAGAGAGCACUUACCUUAAAAUAAUAAAAAAAAAUUCCGACAGUGAUUUAUUUUCCCCUUUUUUUGCCAUCAUUACAGAUAAGGACAAUGGUGGUAAGAGAUUGUGCCUGUUACUGUUCCAGUAAAGUUUCUCAGUAGCGUUCCAGCCAUACCACUAUGCCCAGGUAUGAUACCUCAAUCUGCUGAUUUCAUUACAAGCCAUGAAGAACAAUUAUGGAAUGUGACUAGGACCAGCAUUAAGUAGCCCUGGGAGCCUGCUCAUAUGCCACACCUGAGCAAGUAACUUUUUUUGAAAAGUUGGUAAACUUGUUUUAGCAGGAUGCAUAGCUCUUAUCCUAACUUUCUAAAGAAGUCUUAGGAGUAUACAUUGAAAUAGCAUGAUUUUAAAACUUUUUUUCUCUUUUACUUAGUCUUCUCCCUAUUUUUGUUAUGUUUAGCUGUACUUUAAUUCCCUGCCAUAUCUCGUGAUAGCUUUCAGAUGCUGCUAGAUUUCCUUAGCUUGUAUUAGCUGUAAUGAUUACUUGAGUAAAUCUCACUGUUUUCUUCAGAAAACUCGUUUGGAUGAACUUAAUAAUCAAACCUUUUGUGGCAGGUGGAUGUAAUCUUUUAUUUGAAUGAGAGAUUUCAGAGUAAAAGUAAGAAGGUGGGCUGAUGGCAUUAAACAAGCUACCCAGCCACAGCUAUCUGUGCACAGCCACAGCACUCCUGACUUGUAUUAUCUUGGUGGGGCACCUGUGUCUCAUCCUAUUUUAGGGCAGCACCAGUCCUUCUUUCCUGAGUACUUGUGGGCUACGCAUUGCCCUACUCCCUGGGCAGGAAGGAGGUGUGAUGCAGUAGUACUGCGUGUGCCUUGUUUACGGGAAUGAAGGAUAGACUCAAGGAGAGGAUGUAGGUAACUAAACUUAAAGCCUGUGAUCAUCCCAAGCAUUGCUGGCCUUCUGAGUAGGUUGGAGAUGCCUACAACCAAGUAUUUCUCUUAGGCAAGUGCUUGAACCCAUAUGAAGCAGUUACAGAUGCAAAUCCCCUUUUCCCAAACCAGUGCUGUGAUUUCUGAAGUGAGUUGGGGGGGGGUAGCACCCUAUAAAGUGCAAGUAUGGCAGAGGAUUGAACAGUUGUCAGAGGAAAUUUUUUUUUUUUCUUUAGGAAAGCUAUUUGGAUAUGACAGUAAUCAAACUGUGUGUGUAUGUAUAUAUAUAACUUAUGUGUUUACAUACAGUCUAUCAUACCCACUGUGUAAUAGACACAUACAGUCUAUCAUACUUUUUUCUUUUGAGUAAUAAGCUUCCAAGAUAUUUGAGUUAUGAUUUUUAUUGCUGUGAAAUCUAAAAUUAGUGAAAGACUUCAGGAAAACAGUUGCUAUUUUUUUCCUGGUUGUGUUAGAAAACAACAGAGACAA